rnacentral:rRNA from 1 species
GAUGAACGCUGGCGGCGUGCCUAAUACAUGCAAGUCGAGCGAACGGACGAGAAGCUUGCUUUUCUGAUGUUAGCGGCGGACGGGUGAGUAACACGUGGAUAACCUACCUAUAAGACUGGGAUAACUUCGGGAAACCGGAGCUAAUACCGGAUAAUAUUUUGAACCGCAUGGUUCAAAAGUGAAAGACGGUCUUGCUGUCACUUAUAGAUGGAUCCGCGCUGCAUUAGCUAGUUGGUAAGGUAACGGCUUACCAAGGCAACGAUGCAUAGCCGACCUGAGAGGGUGAUCGGCCACACUGGAACUGAGACACGGUCCAGACUCCUACGGGAGGCAGCAGUAGGGAAUCUUCCGCAAAGGGCGAAAGCCUGACGGAGCAACGCCGCGUGAGUGAUGAAGGUCUUCGGAUCGUAAAACUCUGUUAUUAGGGAAGAACAUAUGUGCAAGUAACUGUGCACAUCUUGACGGUACCUAAUCAGAAAGCCACGGCUAACUACGUG